GAUGCAAUUUAGGCUGUCAGAUCCGCUGGCACACGGAUUGCCAGCGUGACCUCCCGCCUGGACACAUGUCCACGUGUCUGCACGCGACGCACGGAGAGUAGUCACACUGCUGACAUGGUGGUCCACGUGGCCAAACUUUUAUUAAUUUUAUUUUUACCACAAUUUUUCAUAUUUCUUUUCAAAUAUGUCCUCUCUUAUUUCUACUUUGAUUCUGAUUUUCGAAAAU
rnacentral:lncRNA from 1 species